rfam:Ornithorhynchus anatinus chromosome 1, whole genome shotgun sequence.
CACCUCUCAGGGUGGCACCUGUAGAGUUUCCAGUCCUCUACCAGUCACGACUACAGGAGGGAGAGUCAAGCUGAGGCCUUCCCAUUCCAUUCUUAGCUUGGCCAGUGGCUAGUGAAUGGAAGGCAAUCUGCUACAAGU